GACAGAGGGUGCAAACGUUGUUCGGAAUUACUGGGCGUAAAGCGUGUGUAGGCGGCCACGUAAGUCGGAUGUGAAAGCCCUGGGCUCAACCCCAGGAAGUGCACUCGAUACUGCGUGGCUCGAGUACUGGAGAGGUUGGUGGAAUUCUCGGUGUAGAGGUGAAAUUCGUAGAUAUCGAGAGGAACACCGGUGGCGAAGGCGGCCAACUGGACAGAUACUGACGCUGAGACACGAAAAGCGUGGGGGAGCAAACAGG
rnacentral:rRNA from 1 species